UUGCUUCUUUGCUGGCGACCGGCGCACGGGUGAGUAACACGUAUCCAACCUGCCCUUUACUCGGGGAUAGCCUUUCGAAAGAAAGAUUAAUACCCGAUAGCAUAAUGAUUCCGCAUGGUUUCAUUAUUAAAGGAUUCCGGUAAAGGAUGGGGAUGCGUUCCAUUAGGUUGUUGGUGGGGUAACGGCCCACCAAGCCUUCGAUGGAUAGGGGUUCUGAGAGGAAGGUCCCCCACAUUGGAACUGAGACACGGUCCAA
rnacentral:rRNA from 1 species